rnacentral:rRNA from 1 species
CAGUAGCCGCGGUAAUACGUAGGGUGCGAGCGUUAAUCGGAAUUACUGGGCGUAAAGCGUGCGCAGGCGGUUUUGUAAGACAGAGGUGAAAUCCCCGGGCUCAACCUGGGAACUGCCUUUGUGACUGCAAGGCUAGAGUACGGCAGAGGGGGAUGGAAUUCCGCGUGUAGCAGUGAAAUGCGUAGAUAUGCGGAGGAACACCGAUGGCGAAGGCAAUCCCCUGGGCCUGUACUGACGCUCAUGCACGAAAGCGUGGGGAGCAAACAGGAUUAGAUACCCCCGUAGUCCCGUCUCUUAUACA